rnacentral:rRNA from 1 species
CGCGGGAUUAGAGUUUGAUCAUGGCUCAGAUUGAACGCUGGCGGCAGGCCUAACACAUGCAAGUCGAGCGGUAACACAAGGGAGCUUGCUCCUGAGGUGACGAGCGGCGGACGGGUGAGUAAUGCCUAGGUAUCUGCCCAGUCGAGGGGGGUAACAGUUGGAAACGACUGCUAAUACCGCAUACGCCCUACGGGGGAAAGGAGGGGACCUUCGGGCCUUUCGCGAUUGGAUGAACCUAGGUGGGAUUAGCUAGUAGGUGGGGUAAUGGCUCACCUAGGCGACGAUCCCUAGCUGGUCUGAGAGGAUGAUCAGCCACACUGGAACUGAGACACGGUCCAGACUCCUACGGGAGGCAGCAGUGGGGAAUAUUGCACAAUGGGCGAAAGCCUGAUGCAGCCAUGCCGCGUGUAUGAAGAAGGCCUUCGGGUUGUAAAGUACUUUCAGCGGGGAGGAAAGCUCAAUUGUUAAUAGCGAUUGGGUGUGACGUUACUCGCAGAAGAAGCACCGGCUAACUUCGUGCCAGCAGCCGCGGUAAUACGAGGGGUGCAAGCGUUAAUCGGAAUUACUGGGCGUAAAGCGUACGCAGGCGGUUUGUUAAGCGAGAUGUGAAAGCCCCGGGCUCAACCUGGGAACUGCAUUUCGAACUGGCAAACUAGAGUCCUGUAGAGGGGGGUAGAAUUUCA